rnacentral:snoRNA from 1 species
UGACCUCUGGUGCAUAUAUAGGCUGUGUUAACACUGACUGUAUAGAUAGAGGCAAAGACACCUGUCCCAUUUACACCUCAGCCCAGGUACUGUGCCUGCUCUGUACUGUGAAUGGAGACACUUGU